UGUUGUUGCAAUAGCAUUCCUAUUCAGUACGAGAGGAACCACAGAUUCAGAAUCCUGGUGCAUGCGCUUGGCUGAGGAAUAGCCAAGAUGGCAAGGCUACCAUCUGCAGAUUUAUGACUGAAUGACUCUAAGUCAGAACCCCACCUAGACCCCACCUAGAUGUAGUGAUACCUCAGUGCCACCGGCACCUCCGUGGGCUCUGAAUAGCUGCCCACCCCCCCUACAUGGGGCGGGCCUGGUGCGAAGCACCACUUGUGGUUAGGACCAGAGGGGCGGACAGAUGCAGUGUUGCUUCUUGUCCAUCUCGUACCACAUGAUCGUGGAGCACCCAGCUCCAAAUCACUUGCAGAUGACCUGAUUCUAUGUCAGGGUUUCGUACUUAGCAGAGCUUUUCCCUUCCUGCAAUCUAUUGAGAAUUAGCCCUCAAAACAAGAUUU
rnacentral:ncRNA from 1 species